UACGUAGGGGGCAAGCGUUGUCCGGAUUUAUUGGGCGUAAAGAGCGUGUAGGCGGCCCGGUAAGUCCGCUGUGAAAGUCGGGGGCUCAACCCUCGAAUGCCGGUGGAUACUGUCGGGCUAGAGUGCGGAAGAGGCGAGUGGAAUUCCUGGUGUAGCGGUGGAAUGCGCAGAUAUCAGGAAGAACACCCGUGGCGAAGGCGGCUCUCUGGGACGGUACUGACGCUGAGACGCGAAAGCGUGGGGAGCGAACAGG
rnacentral:rRNA from 1 species